rnacentral:rRNA from 1 species
CUUACGGGAGGCAGCAGUGAGGAAUAUUGGUCAAUGGACGAGAGUCUGAACCAGCCAAGUCGCGUGAAGGAUGACUGCCCUAUGGGUUGUAAACUUCUUUUAUAUGGGAAUAAAGUGUUCCACUUGUGGGAUUUUGUAUGUACCAUAUGAAUAAGGAUCGGCUAACUACGUGCCAGCAGCCGCGGUAAUACGGAGGAUCCGAGCGUUAUCCGGAUUUAUUGGGUUUAAAGGGAGCGUAGGUGGAUUGUUAAGUCAGUUGUGAAAGUCUGUGGCUAAACCGUAGAAUUGCAGUUGAAACUGGCGGUCGUGAGUACAGUAGAGGUGGGCGGAAUUCGUGGUGUAGCGGUG